UACAGAGGGGGCAAGCGUUGUUCGGAAUUACUGGGCGUAAAGGGCGCGUAGGCGGCCUGCUAAGUCGAACGUGAAAUCCCUGGGCUCAACCCAGGAACUGCGUCCGAUACUGGUUGGCUUGAAUCCGGGAGAGGGAUGUGGAAUUCCAGGUGUAGCGGUGAAAUGCGUAGAUAUCUGGAGGAACACCGGCGGCGAAGGCGACAUCCUGGACCGGUAUUGACGCUGAGGCGCGAAAGCCAGGGGAGCAAACGGG
rnacentral:rRNA from 1 species